GUGAGGAAUUUUCCGCAAUGGGCGAAAGCCUGACGGAGCAAUGCCGCGUGAAGGAUGAAGGCCUAUGGGUUGUAAACUUCUUUUCUCAGAAAAGAAUUAUGACGGUAUCUGAGGAAUAAGCAUCGGCUAACUCUGUGCCAGCAGCCGCGGUAAGACAGAGGAUGCAAGCGUUAUCCGGAAUGAUUGGGCGUAAAGCGUCUGUAGGUUGUUUAAAAAGUAUUCUGUCAAAGAUUAGGGCUUAACCCUAGAUAGGCAGAAUAAACUUUUAAGCUAGAGUUUGGUAGAGGCAGAGGGAAUUCCCGGUGGAGCGGUGGAAUGCGCAGAUAUCGGGAGGAACACCAGUGGCGAAGGCGGUUCUCUGGACCUUUCCUGACGCUGAGAAGCGAAAGCGUGGGGAGCAAACAGGCUUAGAUACCCUUGUAGUCC
rnacentral:rRNA from 1 species